AUACUGCUUGGACAUGUUCAUUACUGCAUAUACAAACUUCCUAUGUUCUCCUAUUUAAUCACUGUUGGCAGCAAGAAACAGCUUCCAUUAGGUGACAAUUUAGAGCUCAUACGCUUCUUGGUUAGACAAGCGGAAUUGUAACCUUCAGAGCAACGAACUUCACAAGAGGCUUGAAAGUAAGACUAACAAACUAAAUAAUUCUUCAGUUUGGACAGAAACUGUUACAAGUUAACUCUAAAAAGACACUUGUUUGUACAUUUUCAGGGGGGUUGUUCUGUUUCCUUUUCUGGUGGGUUUUUUUGGGGGGUUGGUGUGGUUGGGGUGGGUUUUUAUUGCGUUUUGUUUGUUUGUUUGUUUUGUUUUUUACCUUCAGCCUUCUCUGUGUUUCUAUAUAAAAUGGGAUAAAAUACAAUAAAAACAAUCCAGUAAAGACUUCAUAUAUAUUCAAUAAGGCUUGUAAUUCUGGGAUGUUUUGUUUGUUCAUAUUCAUCAAAUUUUGAAAUAUUUGCCUUAUUUGUGUAUGAAUAAAAGUUCAGAAUUGAAAGGUGCAGAAGACACAACAGGAAGAUACACCAGGAGCAGGAGAUACUCAGCACCUUCCAGGAUUUCAUGUCUAACAUAAUUGUUGUUGAUUACAGCAUAUAAAAACAAACCUGUUGUUGGUUUUCCCAAAGCAAUUAAUUAUUAUCAGCAUUCUCAAGAAAUCACUCAUGGUAACACUAGCAAUCAAAUACAGUGCAGAACAAAUCAAUUCACAAAAUUCCCUUCCAUCCAUAAGUGGAGCUAAUUGCUAGGGAAUUACAAGUUUAACUUAUGUAAAUCAAAAGUCUCUGAGUGUAACUGUGUGGCCUAUAGAGGUUCCUAAUGCAUGGCUCUGCCUUCCCUACAGAGGCAGGUAACUCCCUCUCCAAUUUGUCUGUUUAUCCACACCCCCUGCACCUUUUCAGCAUCAGUCAAUAUGGAUGAAGGUCCACACUGAUGCUGUCAAAACUACCCCUUCUCAUUUUUUAUUAAGGUGGAUCACCAGCUCUACUGCAAAAUUGCACACUAACAAUUAAUUUAUUUCACUGCUCUGUUUCUGACACUGUCCAGGAAGAAACUAUUUGGGAGAAGAUGAAUAUAGUAGCUGACAAUGAUAGUUUUUUGUUGUUAUCUUGUGACUUAAGGCCUGAUCUCUGACUACCAGAAAAGAGCACAAGUAUUACAAC
rnacentral:lncRNA from 1 species